AGCCACUUUUGACAUUCAUUAUUUUCUUCACCUUGUGUACAGAUUCAGAUAACACAAGAAAAGAUGCAGUUCGAACAGAGCCGUUAUUUUUGGAAGGAGAAGGACGCGUGUAUUGGACUCUUGGAGGGUUUUGUAGUAAUUCUAAAAUUAUACUUCAAGAUAUCAGGACUUGGGACUCAGUGAUGCUUGAGGAUAAAUGGUUUACAUAUGUUGAAGAGGAAAAGAACUCAGUUGAGAGACAUAUUUCUUCUUCACGGAGGAACUGGAGGCAAAAGAUGAGUGGCGGUUUUCUGGAACAAGACUCAGAGGAUGUACAUUUGAAGUUGAAGCUUGUAACGCAUGGUGCAGAAUGAGUUCAUGUCAAUGCAGAAUUGGAAGCUCAGUAGACGAGCAAUAUAAUGCAACAACGAUUGGAGUGCUGACUGACGGCCAGUUGAAUUGCUCUUUACACAAAAGGAAUGUGUUGAAUUGCUGUUUACACAACAGCAAAGUGACGGUUUUUUUUUUUGUGUGUCAAUUUUGGCCAACUUAUUUCUUUUUUACACCCGCUAUUCUCUGUUGCAAUUGUUGCCCUGUAAGCUGAAGCUGCGUUGCUUACCGUAGCGUAGCCAGAAAAGAAAAAGAAAAAAUCAUCUUUUUUUGUUUUUUUUAAUUGGGAGAAACAAAGACCUGCCUCUGCUCUGCUGCCCACUGCUCAUGCUUUCUCGGUGCCCUGUUUCUUUUAGGUGACAGCAAAAGCUCAGUUCAUGGUCGAAAUAUAAGCGCACAAGUUGUCA